rnacentral:rRNA from 1 species
UACCGGGCUAACUCGCGAAUGGCUCAUUAAAUCAGUUAUCGUUUAUUUGAUAGUACCUUACUACUUGGAUAACCGUGGUAAUUCUAGAGCUAAUACAUGCUUAAAACCCCGACUUCGGAAGGGGUGUGUUUAUUAGAUAAAAAACCAACGCCCUUCGGGGCUUUCUGGUGAUUCACAAUAACUUAACGGAUCGCAUGGCCUUGCGCCGGCGACGGUUCAUUCAAAUUUCUGCCCUAUCAACUUUCGAUGGUAAGGUAUUGGCUUACCAUGGUUUCAACGGGUAACGGGGAAUUAGGGUUCGAUUCCGGAGAGGGAGCCUGAGAAACGGCUACCACAUCCAAGGAAGGCAGCAGGCGCGCAAAUUACCCAAUCCCGACACGGGGAGGUAGUGACAAUAAAUACUGAUACAGGGCUCUUUUGGGUCUUGUAAUUGGAAUGAGUACAAUUUAAACCUCUUAACGAGGAACAAUUGGAGGGCAAGUCUGGUGCCAGCAGCCGCGGUAAUUCCAGCUCCAAUAGCGUAUAUUAAAGUUGUUGCAGUUAAAAAGCUCGUAGUUGAAACUUGGGUCUGGCUGGCGGGUCCGCCUCACCGCGUGUACUUGUCCGGCCGGGCCUUCCUUCUGGAGAACCUCAUGCCCUUCACUGGGCGUGUUGGGGACCAGGACUUUUACUUUGAAAAAAUUAGAGUGUUCAAAGCAGGCCUUUGCUCGAAUACGUUAGCAUGGAAUAAUAGAAUAGGACGUGCGGUCUUAUUUUGUUGGUUUCUAGGACCGCCGUAAUGAUUAAUAGGGACAGUCGGGGGCAUCAGUAUUCAAUUGUCAGAGGUGAAAUUCUUGGAUUUAUUGAAGACUAACUACUGCGAAAGCAUUUGCCAAGGAUGUUUUCAUUAAUCAGUGAACGAAAGUUAGGGGAUCGAAGACGAUCAGAUACCGUCGUAGUCUUAACCGUAAACUAUGCCGACUAGGGAUCGGGCGAUGUUCUUUUUUCUGACUCGCUC